rnacentral:tRNA from 1 species
GCGCGGUUGGCUCAGUCGGUAGAGCGUUAGCCCGUUCACAAGUGAUCGUACCGAGGGCCCUAUAUACUCGCUACAAGUGUAGUAUGGGAGUGGCGCAAGGGGGGUCACGAACGAUAGGCUAGAGGUCACAGGUUCGAGUCCUGUACCGCGUA